UUGCUAGUUGAUAUUAUCGCUUCUGCUGAUUAAGCUUCAAUUCUUCACCCAAACAUUACAUUACUAUACAAAGUGAGAAUCGAAUUGAAGAAUGUCUUGUGUUGCUGUAAAUUCUCUUGUGAGGACGAUUGAGCUUGAGUUGUUGCAACCUCCGUCUCGCCCAAUCGUACGGCAAAAGCAACUCAUCCCUGGCAAUGAAAAGUUUAUCCAAAAUCUCCACCAGAAGCUCGGUGAUCUGAUAGAGCUGUUGGAUGAGAACAGGAUGGAUGCUAUCCAAGCUAUUAAAGACUUGGAAACUAAGCUCAGAGAUGUGGCUUUCCGAGUGGAAGAUGAAAUCGAAUUCCAAAUCGCACAUCUUUAUGAGGAAGAGGAAGAGUUACUUACAGUGGAAACACCACAGAGGACUAUUGAUGCAGAAGAAGAUCUUUUUGUGGAAAAACCACAAGGAGAAACUUGGCCUUCUUUCAAACUUGGUUGUAUUUUGGAAAGAGCAAUAAGAGACAUUGAUGCCAUCCAGAAAGAGUUGUCCGAAGUGAAGAUGGAGUAUGUCACAGCUGCAGCUUCUACCACAUGUUGUAGUGAUGGAGGAAUUGAUGCCAUGAUGGUGGUGGGGGAUUCCUCCCAUUACCAACCCCUGCAGGGCAGCAGAAUGGUGGGGAAAAACAAUGAGUUCCAAAUUGUAAAGGCGAUGCUAAUUGAGCAUUCAUCAAGGCAACGAGAAAUUGUCUCCAUUAAAGGUAUGGGAGGGAUUGGCAAGACAACAUUAGCUAGACGACUUUAUGAAGAUUCAUCAAUUGCCUCCCACUUUGACAAGCGAGCAUGGGUUGUUGCAUCACAAAAUCAUGAUAAGCUACAAAUACUCACAGAUCUUCUUAUAUCAAUGAGGGGUUGUGUAGAUAGUGACACUCAAGAGGAUCAGCUAGCAGAAAAACUGUACCAAAAUAUGAUGAGGCAAAGGUACUUUGUUGUGAUGGAUGACAUUUGGAGUGUCGAGGCCUGGGAUUCCGUUAAAGCUUGCUUUCCAAAUAAUGGAAAUGGCAGUCGAGUUUUGUUGACUACUCGCUCUUCAGAGGUGGCUACUAUUAUAGGCUCUAAAGAUGACUUUUCGCAUCAAAUGCAAUUGUUAGAAGAAGGUGAGAGUUGGAAUCUAUUUCAUGAAAAGAUAGGCAAAUCUCUGGGUUCUGAAUUCGAUAUGAUUGGGAGACAGAUUGUUGAGAAAUGCAAAGGAUUGCCUUUGGCAAUUAUUAUUGCUGCAGGUUUAUUUUCCAAACUUGAUACUCUAGAUGAGUGGAUGAAUGUUGCAGAAGCUUUAAAUUCAUCUACAACAACAACAACAAUUGAUGAAGAAUGCUCAAGGAUACUCUCAUCUAGUUACAAUCACUUGUCUCACAGUUUGAAGGCUUGUUUUUUAUAUUUGAGCAUAUUUCCGGAAGAUAAAGAGAUCCAUGUUAGAGAAAUCGUAAAGUUAUGGGUUGCCGAAGGACUUGUAAAGGGAGCCAAGGAUAUGAGCUUUGAUGCGGUGGCUAGAAGGCACGUUCAAGAACUCAAGGAUAGGAACCUAAUUCUUGUAAGUCAGCCAAGUAGUUGUGGAAGAAAAAUAAAGAAAUUUAGAAUGCAUGAUUUAUUGCAUUCUUUUUGUGUGAGGGAAGCUAAAAAGGAGAACCUUCUACAUGUUGUCUACAAAAAUGGGUCUAAUUUCCCUCCGAAAGAUUUCCGAUGGGUAAGCAUCCAAUCUGCAGAAAGGUUUAACGAACAAACAUUAUAUUCUUCUUUAAUAAACUGUCGAUCCAUCUUCGUUUUUUCCGGACAGUAUACAUCUUCAAAUUCAAAAAUUAGCCCCCUGUUAAGAGUACUCUAUAAUCAUACUUACUAUGAGAUUGGAUAUCUUGUCCAUUUGAGAUGCCUAUUGUCAAGGAAGCGAGCUUUUACCAUUUUAGAUCCAUUUCGUAGUUGGAAUUUUCAAACACUUUCAGCUUAUAGUAUUGAUAAAAUGAGCUUUUUAGAGUUCCCACAACUACAACAUUUGGGUAGUUACAUAGGACUGAGGGAUUUUCCCAUAUCUUUUCAUCAAAACUUGAAGAGCAUUUGUGGAUUGAUUCCUGAUCAAUGCACAAAAGAGUUAUUUACAAAAGUUCCAUACCUGAAGAAGGUAGAGAUUCUAUGUGAAGAUGGUUGGAGUGAUUGCAUUAAUAACGUUGCCUAUUCACACCAGCUCCAAAGUCUGCAUCUUCUUGGUACAUUAUUUGGGGGGUUGGUGAUUCCAAAUAUUAACCACCUUGUUUACUUGAAAAACCUUACGAGGUUGAGGUUUACGUACUUGACAUUUGAGUGGAAGGCAAUUAAUAUUCUUAGCAAGUUGUCUAAACUUGAGGUGCUAAGGCUAAGCCGUUGUUGGUGCAUUGGUGAGGAGUGGGAACUAUUGGAGGAGGAGAAUUUCGACCAGUUAAUUUAUUUGGAAAUUAAAACGAGGAAUUUUGAGCGUUGGGAAGCAAGUGCUUGUCAUUUUCCGAAGCUUGAGCGUCUAGUCCUUGCUUGCUGCAAAGAAUUGGAAAAGAUCCCAACUGAGUUUGCAGAAAUUCCAAACUUGAAGUCAAUCGAAUUGUAUGAAUGUCUUCCUUCUGCGGUGGAUUCUGCCAAGGAAAUUCAAAAAGAGCAACAUGGGCAAGGAAAUGAUAAUAUGGUUGUCAUUGACAAAAGCAUAAAAGAGCUUCACUCCAACUCUGACAGCGAAGAAGAUGAACUUGAGUCAUAGUUGAAUAAAAGCAAAAAAGGGAAACAAAUUUCUUCCCUAAUCAAUUGAAGUCAAGCAUUGAGAAGUUGGAGCAGUUGAGCAUGGAUUCAAGCCGACGGAAAAGGGGCAAAGGCACUCCGAAAUAUGCUCAAUCCAAAGAAGAGGAUUAGAACAAAGAAAACUCUUCAAGUGCCUGAAGUUGUGAGUGAACUAGUGAGAGCAGCUGUUACUGAACCAGUGAUAUAAGAGUCAUGAAUCAAUGAUAGAAGCAGAAGUGAUUGCAGUCAACACUUAGCCAGAAAUGGACUUUGAUUAAAUGAACAAUAUGUCAAAAUUCUUGUAGUUGACAGUAUGGUGGUGAAGGAGCCAGUUAAAGCAACCAAGAUUCCUUUCAUUUGAAAGAAAACUACUGCA